rnacentral:ribozyme from 1 species
GAAUUCUGAGGAGCUUGUGGGUCCAUUUUUCGGGACUCGUGUGGGUCCCCACUCUUAUCGGUGAGUUUUUCUGAGGUGGUGUGAAGCUGGGCAGCUUUCGCAUUCGAAUAGCACUCGCUGUUGCGAGAGCGUUACUCAGAUUUUUGUUGUCAGCGCA